UACGAGGGGGGCAAGCGUUGUUCGGAAUUAUUGGGCGUAAAGGGUGCGUAGGCGGUCUGACAAGUCUGAUGUGAAAUCUAUGGGCUCAACCCAUAGUCUGCAUCGGAAACUGUCGGGCUUGAGUAUGGGAGAGGUGAGUGGAAUUUCCGGUGUAGCGGUGAAAUGCGUAGAUAUCGGAAGGAACACCUGUGGCGAAGGCAAUGUUCUGGCUCGUUUCUGACGCUCAGGUGCGAAAGCCAGGGGAGCGAACGGG
rnacentral:rRNA from 1 species